rnacentral:lncRNA from 1 species
CAAAAAUGAAUUUUAUAUGUAAUAAUAUUUUAAUAAAAUAACAGAGUCCACACAAUGGAAUAUUAUGCAGCAUUGAGAACAAACAUUGUACAACUACAUUCUAUGAAUAAUCUGUCAAAGAAAUAAGAGCAUCUCAUUAUCUAGUAUUAUAUCACAAAAUUUUAUCACUCUGUGUUCAACUAAUGCUCACACUUUUCAUUUUUAUGAGGCCUUCUUUCCAAUGCAUGUGGCACCUAACUCUAAUUUAGUCUAAUUUUGGAUCCACAAAUAUAAACUUCACUUAGCAUUUCACUUAUCUCUGAAAUAAAGUUAUUCCUUCCUCGAACACAUUAUUGGUUGUUGAAUUAUUGAUCUUACUUGGAAAAUUAGAAUAUUAGCUUUCAAGUCCUUUACAUUAAAAUGCCAUUUGUUAAUUUGCAUUAAAUAACUGGCAUUAUGGGCCCACUGAGAAUUAACUUUGCUUCUAGCUGUU